AUCCUACCUACAUAUCUUCUCUAUACUUGACAUCUGUCCUUGGUAUUUCCACAUAUUUGGAGGGCAUUUUUGACUUCACAGUUUUGUUUUUCCUUUCUUCCUCACCUAGCUUCUUCCGUCCAUGUUUUUAAUUGUUAAAAAAGAGUUGAAACGGGAGAGGAGGAGAGCUUGGAUCAACCAGAAUUUUUUUCUUGGUAUUUAUUUGCCACACUUGGGUUUGUCAUUUUUUAAUUCUAAGGAACAUUGUUGAGUUUUCACUCCCAUUUCGUUUUGUUUUUGUUUUUCUUUUUUUGUUCUUUUGCCUUCCACAACUGUCGCUUAUGGCAUUUUUGUUCUCUUUCCCACUUCAUGAUUCUAAGCUACAUAAGCUCUUUACCCUCAACACCUGUAUUUGGAAUUUCAUGAUAUUUAAAGGGUAUUUUGAACUUUUCCUCUUUCUCUCAUUCUCUUUUCACCCAUUCGCCUCUGAUUAAGCCACACCUGGGUUUAUCAUUUUUUAAUUCUGAGGAACAUUGUUGAGUUUUCACUCUCAUUUGCCACUUCAUUCUGGUGCUAUUAGCCGUGUGAAUAUGGUUUACUAUGCUAGUGCUUUGUACAUGUGGGUGACAUGCAAGGAUAAUUGUUGAUGUGGAAUUCAAAUUGAGAUGAGGAUGUCGAAUAUUAGCUUUCACAUUUGGAAGGGUAGCUGUUCAGAAAGGUGUAUAAUUAUAGCUUUCGAAGGCUAUAUCACCAUCAAAGCUAGGAUAUUCUCUUGGACUAUAUCACCAUCAAAGCUAGAGUAUUCUCUUAAGUAAGUUUUCCUUUAUUCACAUGUUGAUAAACAGAGACAAAGCUACGGUUAGAUUA